rnacentral:lncRNA from 1 species
AUGACGGUGUAAAAGAGAGUGAGGAACUUGUCCUGGUCUUUGGAAGCCCUGUUACCUGGCUGCAGGUGGCUGAUUUAGGUUCCAAGCAGAAUUGAAUUGGGUGCCUUGGAAGCCUGAGGCAGAUUUGGUACUAUGGAGGGUGCACUUGCUGAUAUGAAGUUUUAUUUUAUACAAAUCCUGGAGAAGCUAAGUGAGGCCAUGUCAAUGUUGCCAGAAGACAUGAGAAUCAUGCCAGAUCUCUGUGGCUUAACAUGGAACAUAGUGGUUGUGCUCUACCUUCUUUUUCCAUUUUCCUUCUGCUGA